CCUACGGGUGGCAGCAGUGGGGAAUAUUGGGCAAUGGAGGCAACUCUGACCCAGCAAUGCCGCGUGAGUGAAGAAGUAUUUCGGUACGUAAAGCUCUAUCAGCAGGGAAGAAAAUGACGGUACCUGACUAAGAAGCCCCGGCUAACUACGUGCCAGCAGCCGCGGUAAUACGUAGGGGGCAAGCGUUAUCCGGAUUUACUGGGUGUAAAGGGAGCGUAGACGGCAGCGCAAGUCUGGAGUGAAAUCCCAUGGCUUAACCAUGGAACUGCUUUGGAAACUGUGCAGCUAGAGUGCAGGAGAGGUAAGCGGAAUUCCUAGUGUAGCUGUGAAAUGCGUAGAUAUUAGGAGGAACACCAGUGGCGAAGGCGGCUUACUGGACUGUAACUGACGUUGAGGCUCGAAAGCGUGGGGAGCAAACAGGAUUAGAUACCCGUGUAGUC
rnacentral:rRNA from 1 species